GUAGGUGGCAAGCGUUAUCCGGAUUUAUUGGGUUUAAAGGGUGCGUAGGCGGUUCGAUAAGUUAGAGGUGAAAUCCCGGGGCUCAACUCCGGCACUGCCUCUGAUACUGUUCGGCUAGAGAGUAGUUGCGGUAGGCGGAAUGUAUGGUGUAGCGGUGAAAUGCUUAGAGAUCAUACAGAACACCGAUUGCGAAGGCAGCUUACCAAGCUACUUCUGACGUUGAGGCACGAAAGCGUGGGGAGCAAA
rnacentral:rRNA from 1 species